rnacentral:rRNA from 1 species
GCAAGUCGAACGCWUUUUCWUUCACCGGAGCUUGCUCCACCGAAAGAAAAAGAGUGGCGAACGGGUGAGUAACACGUGGGUAACCUGCCCAUCAGAAGGGGAUAACACUUGGAAACAGGUGCUAAUACCGUAUAACACUAUUUUCCGCAUGGAAGAAAGUUGAAAGGCGCUUUUGCGUCACUGAUGGAUGGACCCGCGGUGCAUUAGCUAGUUGGUGAGGUAACGGCUCACCAAGGCAACGAUGCAUAGCCGACCUGAGAGGGUGAUCGGCCACACUGGGACUGAGACACGGCCCAGACUCCUACGGGAGGCAGCAGUAGGGAAUCUUCGGCAAUGGACGAAAGUCUGACCGAGCAACGCCGCGUGAGUGAAGAAGGUUUUCGGAUCGUAAAACUCUGUUGUUAGAGAAGAACAAGGAUGAGAGUARAACGUUCAUCCCUUGACGGUAUCUAACCAGAAAGCCACGGCUAACUACGUGCCAGCAGCCGCGGUAAUACGUAGGUGGCAAGCGUUGUCCGGAUUUAUUGGGCGUAAAGCGAGCGCAGGCGGUUUCUUAAGUCUGAUGUGAAAGCCCCCGGCUCAACCGGGGAGGGUCAUUGGAAACUGGGAGACUUGAGUGCAGAAGAGGAGAGUGGAAUUCCAUGUGUAGCGGUGAAAUGCGUAGAUAUAUGGAGGAACACCAGUGGCGAAGGCGGCUCUCUGGUCUGUAACUGACGCUGAGGCUCGAAAGCGUGGGGAGCGAACAGGAUUAGAUACCCUGGUAGUCCACGCCGUAAACGAUGAGUGCUAAGUGUUGGAGGGUUUCCGCCCUUCAGUGCUGCAGCAAACGCAUUAAGCACUCCGCCUGGGGAGUACGACCGCAAGGUUGAAACUCAAAGGAAUUGACGGGGGCCCGCACAAGCGGUGGAGCAUGUGGUUUAAUUCGAAGCAACGCGAAGAACCUUACCAGGUCUUGACAUCCUUUGACCACUCUAGAGAUAGAGCUUCCCCUUCGGGGGCAAAGUGACAGGUGGUGCAUGGUUGUCGUCAGCUCGUGUCGUG